AGUCGUCUCGCGGAUCUCUGGCUAACAAGUUGAAUUUAAGUACUUUUUACGAUGAGGAGAACAAACGGUUUACGUAAUGGACAGGCCCUUUAUUCUGCAACACUUUGCUUGUUUACACAGCACUACACUCUACUCCACUCCACUGCAGAUUCUGCUACAUCUGCCACAUGCAACAGGCAUCCACAGAAAAGUCUGCGUCAAAGUCUGCCUCAAAGUCUGCUUAGAUCACAGACCACAAAGGAAAGAAAAGCAAACGGAGCCCAGAGAACAGAGAAAAAAUCUCGAAGCGAGAUCCCAAACCCAAUCAAACCACACGUACAGACAAUUCCCAUCCAUUAAUUGAAUCAAAUCGAACGUUACGCAUGCGUCAUGCCACAAAAUGACAAAGGGAGCCGCCACUGGGAGAGGCUCACACAUGCAGAUGAUCAUAAUAAUGAUUAUAAUGAUGAUGACGAUAGUUCCAGCCAUCUUCUUGGAGGAGACACCGUCUCCACCACCUCCACUCCACCAAAAGCCACAGCAACAGACAGACGCAGAAGCAGACGAUGGUAGAAGCCGUGUGUGUUAAGCAAAGUGGAAAUCGCAGUUGGAGACCAUCAUCCAGAGAGGGAGGGGAAUCAGGGACUCUGGGACUCAGGGAAGUGGUGACCAAAUCAAACUGCCUCUGGACCAUGGACUGUGGACUGCGGACUGUGACUGUGGUUAAAGCCCACUUAAUUGACAUUUAGUGGACACUCGAAUGCAAAUGCAACACAGAGGCUUGUGAUAUACACUGGAAUAAACGAAGGGAACGAUUGAGGAUCGAUAUACAACCAGAUGCUUUGAUUCAUUGUUAAAUUUAUUCCCCAUUUCAGUAAUUUUGAAACUCUGUUUCUGCUGUGGAUUAUACUGGAGCUGGAUACUUCUGUGUUUCGUUAGAGGGACUCGGCCUUUCUUAAUGACACUUCGGAGAUGUCUACACUAUGUCCCAGAAAGAUCGCCAACUUUGUACGAGCAUCUGGAGAGAUCCUCUGCGGUAUCACAACGGGCCGAAAGGGCGACGGGCUCUGAGGCUGGCAGACGCCUCUACCUAACUUAGAGCUUAGAGGACUCAAAUUAGCAGGCGAUGAUCACACUCCUAGUGGUCCUUGAGAUGAUCUUCAAAAAGGGAUGUCUACAUACAGAUUCCAAAUGUUAUCAGAAGAAUAAAACACUAUAAAUCGAGGAGGAAUCGGAACUGAAAGAUGGACAACAGUCCGAAGAGUACUGGAAUCUUCAGAGCAAAAUCUGUUUAAGAUAUGAUCACCUUCUCGAUCUUAGGAACACCUUUUUGGGUGUUUUCUUGCAGUGCAUGCCACAUACCAAAGCGAGUGUCAGGCUGCGUGGAUUUUGGCUGGGCGCGAUUCUCAUCAGUAGUGCUAUAAGUAGUUUUCCUUUUCGAACUUGAAUGCUCGUCUCUGGCAGCUCUCUCUCUCCCUCUCUGUUGGCAUUCUAAUGCCCUCCCCUCGUGCCUCGUACCCCCAAUCCAUCCGUUGAUAAUGAGCAUGUUCUCCAGUUGCCAUUCCUGUUGCUCAUGAUUUCUGAAGAUGCGACUGCAGCGGCGGCUGCAGAAGUAGCAUUCGAAGAAGUAGCUUCAACUGAACCCAGACAUCAUUACAAUAUAAUUGAUGGGUUAUGGCCCCGCUAACGGUACUGGCCAAAAUGUUUCCUUGGAUUCUGUUUUUUGCUUUAGAAGGAGGAGGAGGAGAAGCCAGUUUUCGGUUUGGGGAAAUUAUCAUUGUUCCGUUUGACAGCUGGCGAGGAGUUGUGCGUAUGGUUAUGGGAGUUGCUUUGGAGUUUCGGCUAUGAAUAUGGAAAAUGGUUAUAGUGCCACCAAAUCGGGCGGGUAAUGUGAGCCGCUGACAUAGAAAACUACUUAGGAUUUGCUAGAGAAAAUGUGCAGAGAAUGCAGUGGGUUCUUGAAUUUUUGCGCACAGAAAAGGUUUGAGUCCUGGGAAGCGAAAUGACUUGAUUUUGAGACCAGAAAUAUUGUCAGACAUGAGAUACACAUAUCCCGACUACCUUUAAAACGCUCCCUGACUUCAUAAAUCAAUUCCCAGGGCCUUCAAUCUCAAAAAACAACCAGAAAUCGCAGCAAAAACUUUCAAGAACCGCCCUCCUAUAUAUGUAUCUGCUCAACCGAAACGAAUCUCUGGCCGCAUUCGCGUGAAUCAAAAUCGACUAAAAACCCUAUUCAUUUCAAUGUCAUUUGGCAGUCGAACAAAAAAA